rnacentral:rRNA from 1 species
UACGAAGGGGGCUAGCGUUGCUCGGAAUCACUGGGCGUAAAGCGCACGUAGGCGGCUUUCUAAGUCAGGGGUGAAAUCCUGGAGCUCAACUCCAGAACUGCCUUUGAUACUGGAAGACUUGAGUACUGAUGAGGUAGGCGGAAUGGACGGUGUAGCGGUGAAAUGCUUAGAUAUCGGAAGGAACACCUGUUGCGAAGGCGGCUCUCUGGACUCAAACUGACGCUGAGGCACGAAAGCGUGGGUAGCGAACAGG